GAAAUCUGGCGCAAGCCCGAGUUGUAAUUUGUAGAGGAUGCUUCUGGGUAGCGACCGAUCUAAGUUCCUUGGAACAGGACGUCAUAGAGGGUGAGAAUCCCGUAUGUGACCGGCCCGCACCCUUUACGUAGCUCCUUCGACGAGUCGAGUUGUUUGGGAAUGCAGCUCUAAAUGGGAGGUAAAUUUCUUCUAAAGCUAAAUACCGGCCAGAGACCGAUAGCGCACAAGUAGAGUGAUCGAAAGAUGAAAAGUACUUUGGAAAGAGAGUUAAAAAGCACGUGAAAUUGUUGAAAGGGAAGCGCCUGCAACCAGACUUCGCGGCAGUGUUCCGCCGGUCUUCUGACCGGUUCAUUCUCUGUCGCGAGGCCAUCAUCGUCUGGGCCCGCCGGAUAAGACCUGAGGAAUGUGGCUCCCCCUCGGGGGAGUGUUAUAGCCUCUGGUGAUGCGGCGUGGCUCGGGCGAGGUCCGCGCUUCGGCAAGGAUGAUGGCGUAAUGGUUGUCGGCGGCCCGUCUUGAAACACGGACCAAGGAGUCUAACAUCUAUGCGAGUGUUCGGGUGUCAAACCCCUACGCGUAAUGAAAGUGAACGGAGGUGGGAACCGCAAGGUGCACCAUCGACCGAUCCUGAUGUCCUCGGAUGGAUUUGAGUAAGAGCAUAGCUGUUGGGACCCGAAAGAUGGUGAACUAUGCCUGAAUAGGGUGAAGCCAGAGGAAACUCUGGUGGAGGCUCGCAGCGGUUCUGACGUGCAAAUCGAUCGUC
rnacentral:rRNA from 1 species